rnacentral:rRNA from 1 species
UACGGGGGGGGCAAGCGUUGUUCGGAAUUACUGGGCGUAAAGGGCUCGUAGGCGGCCAACUAAGUCAGACGUGAAAUCCCUCGGCUUAACCGGGGAACUGCAUCUGAUACUGGAUGGCUUGAGUUCGGGAGAGGGAUGCGGAAUUCCAGGUGUAGCGGUGAAAUGCGUAGAUAUCUGGAGGAAUACCGGUGGCGAAGGCGGCAUCCUGGACCGGCAUUGACGCUGAGGCGCGAAAGCUAGGGGAGCAAACGGG